CUAAUUUGUGGCUAAUUCGUAUAAUAAUAUUAUCCCUUAAAAGUUCAUUUCUGAUGCUGUUGUUGACUGUUUGAGUCCUCAGAGUUUAGCCUAUUGCUUGGCUGGUCGCACGCUCACAUGUUUCUUCCUGUUUCACAGGACCUGUUCAGGACAGUCCCACAGUAUAGCUACCCUGAUUCUGCCAGUAGGCAUGGGUCACCAUCUCUACACGUGAGUCCUAGUGCACCAGAUCUGUCGAAACACAUCACACCAUAUCAAGCUCAUCCUCUCUGUCUCUCUCUCUCACACACACACAUACGCAGGCUAUUUGGGACUGAUCAAGACCAGUUUUUGUAGAUAUUUUUCAUUGCCUGCCAAGUAGAGCCUGGGACAUCCGCACCAUGCAAAUAAAAGUGCUCUGAGGCAAUCUGUUGAGAUUUAACAAACAACAGCACCAAGUGACCAAUCCAAUGAUGCUGAAAUCUAUCAUCCUUCACUGAGACAUUUAAACAAAAUGAUGACGUCCAUGAAUUUUAACAUCAGUUCAAAUGAAACCGGCACAAAAAUAUUGUGGACAUCUUCUGAUCUGAUUAUAUCUCUGUCCAGUUGUUUUGUGGGAAAUGGAGGCUGUGUGUAAAGAGAGAGAUCCAGGUUUGCAUGGGAUUGUGGGAGCUGUGCAUGUUGAUCGCAGGAACCGGUUCUGUGUUACCUCUCCCAAUAUAAGCUUCACAUUCUUACUGAGAGAGGAAGACAAACCUGAAACGCCUGAGGUAAAACACUCUGGCUCUUUGCUGAAGCUCCAGGCUCUGGAGGGAGACACCAGCCCUUCUUCAGACACCUCUCCUGAAGACAGUCCACCCAGCCUGGGAUUCAAAGAUGAAAUCCCGAUUCCUUCAUGCAAUGGCGUUGGGGAAGAGCGCAGCCCACCAGGUAAGAGAGCCAGCAGUGCUUUAUGGGCAGCAUGUGAGUGCCUGAUGGUCAAACUGAAUGGUGGGCUGCUACGAUGCAUGAAUGAAUGA
ensembl:lncRNA